rnacentral:rRNA from 1 species
UACGGGGGGGGCAAGCGUUGUUCGGAUUUACUGGGCGUAAAGAGCGUGUAGGCGGCCAAGCAGGUCCGUUGUGAAAACUGGAGGCUUAACCUCCAGACGUCGACGGAAACCGCGCGGCUAGAGUCCGGAAGAGGGGAGUGGAAUUCCAGGUGUAGCGGUGAAAUGCGUAGAGAUCUGGAGGAACACCCGUGGCGAAGGCGGCUCCCUGGUCCGGUUCUGACGCUGAGACGCGAAAGCGCGGGGAGCGAACGGG